CAUUUACAAACCCUACACAACUCAAGAAAGACACUGCCCUGGCAGUGGCAGAACAAGAGUUUGUGUAUCCAUUGUUCAAGAUGAAUACCUGGAAUAAAGCUGCCAUGAGCACUCUUAAAAAUGCGGUUUCAUUUUUCUUGGGUAAAUACCUAUGGGUCAACUUGCUGGAUCAUAAGAAGAAAGCCAGGAUAACUUGAAUGGAGACAUAUAACUUGAAGGCAUAAAUUUAAAAUAAGGG